rnacentral:snoRNA from 1 species
UUCUCCAUAUGAUGUCCAGCAUUGGACUCUGACAUCCUUGGGGACAUGGAGUUAUUAGGACCUUUGCAGGGAUAUUAAGAGACUCAAUGGAGAC